AUGGAGACGGACAGCCCGCGGAGCCCGGAGGCGGAGAUCGGGCACCGGGUGGAGGACCUGUGGGAGGUGGCGCAGCCGCAGCUGUCCCCGUCGGAGAAGCUCAACUCCUGCUUCGAGGACAUCCCCGUCGCCGCCUUCCCGCGCACCCACCCCUCGCAAGUGAUCGAGAUACCUUCGGAUGCCAGCCUUGCUGAUACUGUUGAGACAUUAUCCAAAAAUAAAAUUUUGAGCGCACCCAUAAGAAACGUCGAUGCUCCAGAGGAUGCUACUUGGAUAGACAAAUACAUCGGUAUUGUGGAAUUUGCUGGUAUUGCAAUGUGGUUGCUUCAUCAGUCUGAUGCUUCAGGUAACGGAACAGCUGGUUCUGCAGUUGGAUCACCUGUGGCCAAUCUAGCAGCUAGGUUAGGCUCUUUCACAUUCAGAAGAACGUCAUCUGGCAGGGUAGAAACCACCACUGAUUCAGAAUCAGAUGAAGCUGCAUCAGUGGGUGGAAGUUUUUUUGAAACCCUUACUUCCUCUGAGUUCUACAAGAACACAAAGGUUGGCGAUAUCUCUGGAAGCUUCCGAUGGGCGCCAUUUCUUGCCCUGCAGACAUCUGACACAUUCCUCACCAUGCUGCUUCUUCUAUCCAAGUACAGGAUGAAGAGCCUCCCAGUGGUAGAUAUGGGGGGAAAUAAGAUCGAGAAUAUCAUUACACAAUCUUCCGUUGUGCACAUGCUUGCAGAGUGUGUUGGACUUCCUUGGUUUGAAAGCUGGGGAACCAAGAAACUAUCUGAACUGGGCCUUCCUCUGAUGAAGCCAUACAGACUUGUUAAGGUAAAUGAAGACCAGCCAGUCCUAAAAGCCUUCCAACUGAUGAGGGAAAAGGGGGUUGGUGGUGUGCCUGUUAUGAACACAAAUGGAACGAAAGCAAUUGGUAACAUUAGCAUCAGAGAUGUCCAAUAUCUUCUGAGUGCCCCCAAGAUAUACAAACAAUACAGGACAAUCUCAGCCAAGGAUUUCCUUACCGCGGUCCGGCACCAUCUCCAGGAGCAACACGAAGCGUCGCCGUUGCUGCACGACGUGAUCACAUGCAAAAGAGACGACGUGAUCAAGGAAAUCAUACUGAAGCUGGACUCGACCAAGAUCCACAGGAUCUACGUGGUCGACGACAAGGGGGACACCGAGGGGGUGAUCACGCUGAGGGACAUAAUCUCCAAGCUGGUGCACGAGCCACGGCAUUACUUUGGGGAUUUCUUCGACGGCGUCGUUCCCCUACCCGCAAACAGUACCGUCUGA
rnacentral:rRNA from 1 species